GUAAAAGUGGGAAUAUUAGAUACACUCGAUUUUUGGCCUUCUAGGUUUCACUACAAUGUAUACUUUUUUCUUUCUCUUUGCUCUGUAUGUGAUAAGAAAAAAGUCUUUAAAGAAGAAAAAGUUACCAGAUUUGUAAACCAGUUUUCCAAUUACUGAGCUUCUGCAAAGAAAGAUGCCAUAAUUGCUCAAGGUGAAAGAAAAAGAAAGAGAUAUCAUAAAUUAUCAUGAAGAUCGAUGGUAGAAGCUUUCUGAAGACCCAAAGAGCACUGUGCCCUGUCUUACCUGUCAGACAUGAGAGAAUAAAACUGCUCACUCACCAGAAGAUACUUGUAUGCAACCAUCCUUCAGCUGGAUUUUUUUCUUCCCUACUUUCUUGGACACACACACAUGCACACACACACCAAAAAAUAACUUUAUCAUAAAGCUCCAACUAAGUAAGGGAUAAAGAUGAGUUGAAAGACAGAGAGUGGUUGGUAUGCAACAAGAUCAAAAAAAAAAAGAGAGAGAGAAAGAGAAAAAGAAGAAAAAUCUGAGAGUGGGAGUUGCCCCACUGGCUGUCAGUGGCAAGAAAAAGCACUGUGAAUCAAAAUGAAACAAGAAAGAUAAUAGAGGGGGAAGAAGUGUUGCCAGUGUGAUGCUCUCAGGAACUGCAAGAGAACAGCAAGCAAACAGAAUUCCUGUUAGCCAGUUGUGGAAUCAUAAUUCUGAAUGAGAUUGAGCUGUUUACAUGCUAUAACCAGAAUGAUGAAGAAGUCUGGAGAUGAAGAAAAGAGUGAAAAGGCCUGGAAUGGGCUGAGGAACUCUGGACUGUGAUUUAGGAUGUCUGGGUUCAAUCCUGCUAAACCCUAGCUCACUCUGUGACACUCGGCAAGUUUCCUUUCACUUGGUCUCAGUUUCCUUAUGUGAUGCUAGGCUACCUCAGGGAUUCUCAGUGGGGGAGAAACCAUUUCCCGGGAGGUGAUCUGGAAAGUUAUGGGGGCAUUUUACAGUGUCCCAAUGACUGGAGGUUGUUUCUGGCAUUUACUGGGCAGGGGCAGGGCUGUUAGAUAACCUGUAAUACACAGGACAGUCCCCCACAGUGAAAAACCAUCCCACAUCCUGCACAACUGUCACAUGUCCUCCUGGAUACUCAUGUAGAUGAAAAACUUGUUCAUAAUUGUCUGACUCCAGUCAGAUAAAAACUAGCUCUGCUUUAAAUAGGAACACAAGUUGUUUUUGCACCGUACCAGUGUGUGUUGAACUUUUGAAAAUGGAAUUACCACAUAAAUCAAAAGAAAUCCACAUCUUUUAAAAACAGUUUUAUCGAAGUAUGACUUAUAUGCCAGAAAAUUAAUUCAUUUUUUCAGUGAUAUCAAUUCAGUUUGUGUUUAUUCAAUUCAGUGAUUUUGGUAAAUUUGAUGGAGUUGGGCAUGUAUCAUCAAAAUCCAGCUUCAGAACAGUUCCUUCCUUCCAACAAGUUUCCUUAUACCAGUUUGCUGUCAAUUAUCACUCCCACCCCAAGCCCCAGGCAACCACUGAUUUGCUUACUGUUUCUGUAGAUCUGUCUUUUCUAGAAAUUUUACAUAUAAAGAAUCAUACAAUAUAUAGUCUUUUGUAUUUCUCUCCUUUCACUUAGCAUCCUGUUUUUUAAGAUUCAUCCACAUUGUACCAUGGAUUAUAGUUUGUUUCUUUUUAUUGCUGAAUAAUAUUCCAUAGCAGUAAACCACAUUUUGUUUAUCCAUUUAUCAGCUUGAUGGACAUUUGAAUUGUUGCUAGGUUUUGGCUCUUAGGAAUUUGGCUGCUAUGAAUAUUCCUAUACAAGUCUUUGAGAGGACAUAUAUUUCAUUUCACUUGGGCAUAUACUUAGAAGCAGGAUUGCUGAAUUAUUUAUUUUUUUUUAAGUCAAGAGUUGUUUAAACUCUUUUGGAACUCAUUUUGGAAAAUCAACAUUGCUCAUGGUAUCUGAAUCAGCAAUAUAAUGCUCCUGUAUACAUGUGCAUGGGGAGUGCUACUGGUCACAGUCAUAGACAUAGAAUCACAUAUGCAUCAGUAUAUCAAUGCAUAUUCUAUGCAUAGGUAGAGUAUGUGAUUCUGUGUGUAAGUAUAUCCAUGAUUCUAUGCAUAGGUAAAGCAUGCAGUUCUAUGUGUAAGUAUAUCCAUGAUUCUGUGCAUAGGUAUAGUAUGUGGUUCUAUGUGUAAGUAUAUCCAUGAUUCUACACAUAGGUACAGUAUGUGGUUCUAUAUGUAAGUAUAUCCAUGAUUCUAUGCAUAGGUGUAGCAUGUGGUUCUAUGUGUAAGUAUAUCCAUCAUUUUAUGCACAGGUAUAGCACGUGGUUCUAUGUGUAGGUAUAUCCAUGAUUCUACACAUAGGUAUAGCAUGUGGUUCUAUGUGUAAGUAUAUCCAUGAUUCUAUGCAUAGGUGUAGCAUGUGGUUCUAUGUGUAGGUAUAUCCAUGAUUCUACACAUAGGUAUAGCACGUGGUUCUAUGUGUAGGUAUAUCCAUGAUUCUACGCAUAGGUGUAGCAUGUGGUUCUAUGUGUAAGUAUAUCCAUGAUUCUAUGUGUAGGUGUAGACUUCUGAGUACUUCAUUAUGUCUCUAGUUAGGAUGUAAUCAAACAUUUCUGUAUUUUUUUUUUUUUAAUUUUUUUUUUUAUUGAUCAUUCUUGGGUGUUUCUCGCAGAGGGGGAUUUGGCAGGGUCAUAGGACAACAGUGGAGGGAAGGUCAGCAG
rnacentral:lncRNA from 10 species